ACUCCUACGGGAGGCAGCAGUGGGGAAUAUUGCACAAUGGGCGCAAGCCUGAUGCAGCCAUGCCGCGUGUAUGAAGAAGGCCUUCGGGUUGUAAAGCACUUUCAGUAGGGAGGAAGGUAGUGUAGUUAACACCUGCAUUAUUUGACGUUACCUACAGAAGAAGCACCGGCUAACUCCGUGCCAGCAGCCGCGGUAAUACGGAGGGUGCGAGCGUUAAUCGGAAUUACUGGGCGUAAAGCGCAUGCAGGCGGCCUGUUAAGUCAGAUGUGAAAGCCCGGGGCUUAACCUCGGAAUUGCAUUUGAAACUGGCAGGCUAGAGUCUUGUAGAGGGGGGUAGAAUUU
rnacentral:rRNA from 1 species